GUAGGGAGCAAGCGUUGUUCGGAUUUACUGGGCGUAAAGGGCGCGUAGGCGGCGCGGUAAGUCACUUGUGAAAUCUCUGAGCUUAACUCAGAACGGCCAAGUGAUACUGCAGUGCUAGAGUGCAGAAGGGGCAAUCGGAAUUCUUGGUGUAGCGGUGAAAUGCGUAGAUAUCAAGAGGAACACCUGAGGUGAAGACGGGUUGCUGGGCUGACACUGACGCUGAGGCGCGAAAGCCAGGGGAGCAAACGGGAUUAGAUACCCCGGUAGUCCUGGCCCUAAACGAUGAAUACUUGGUGUCUGGGGUUUCAAGACUCCGGGUGCCGUCGCUAACGUUUUUAGUAUUCCGCCUGGGGAGUACGCUCGCAAGAGUG
rnacentral:rRNA from 1 species